GUGGGAGUGCCAUGGUUCGCUCCCCUAGUUGUAAUUUAAACGAUCUCUAGGGAGCGGCUGGCGGAACUUUGCGCCCCUAGAGGCAAUUUAGCAAGUGCAGCAUUUUCGAAGACGAGGAAUAUCGGUCACAUGGCAGAUCUCAUGCAGGUGGAACUCCCCGGCAAUUCUACCCAUAAAACAUGCCCUAGAGAAACUCUUGCAAAGGUGCCUCAGGAGACACGUGCAAGAAUGUAGGAGCUCUGGAGAUUGAUUACAAGACAACGUGAAGGUACUUAACACUACUGAACUAUACGCUUAAAAAAGAACAACUAAAAGAAUUUGAUUAGAUGUAAAUUGUAACGGCUGUACAGAGGAUCAAAGGAAUCAGUCUGAAUUAUCUGAUUUUAACUGAAUUUGAAAAAGACGAUCUGAUAUUAUCUAAGUACCAGGAGGCAACUCGUCACGUUGCAGCUGCCUAGCAGCAGAUUAUAAUGUGUCUGCAAAAGCAUCCCACAGGCCAUGACCCUGGAAGUGGCCUUGCAAGCUGAGCAGGAUUUCCUUACAACACAGGGAGAAUCUGAAGGGCCUUCGCACUUUCCCAUAAAC